UAUUAUUAUAUGUUUAAGCAUGCCCAUGCAUCACUUAUAUGUAUGUAUCUAUGUAGUUAAGCUCUAGGCACGUUUUAUGUUGCAUUCACAACUGUUAAAGUGCCAUGGAUGUUGUUGUGGUAAUUUGGAGCAGUGUGCGUGCGUUAGCGUGCGUGUGAUGUGGUGUGGACUAUGGAUAGGACGGGUAGACACGGCUUGAGAUCUUCGCUGGGACCCGAUCCUUCGGGGGUAGUCACGGCUUGAGUUCUUCGCUGGGACCCCGAUUUGGUUUAUUAAGCGAAAGUCCGGCUUGAGUUCUUCGCUGGCACCAGGCCACAGGAGGAGUUAUUUUACAGAGCAACCUGUUUUCUUCCUCGCAGGUUUAACGUCGAUUAUUUAAUUGUUUUACUAUCUUUUCUAAAUUUAAAAUCUAGAACUCCGCAUGUGUUAGUAAUAGUGUGGACCUUGUUAGAAAUUGUGUUAAUUUAAAUUUUUGAGAUUUAUAAAUGAAGAUUUGUAUGGUAUUUAAA